rnacentral:sRNA from 1 species
UAAUCCGUCAUUGGGGAGUAGCCUCUCUCGACCAAUCGAGAGGGAUGCGUCAACAGACUUGGGUCAGCAUGGCUCAUGGCGCAUCCGGCAGUGGUCGCUUGGCGAGACCUUUGGUUUUAGC